UGCUGCUGCUACAUCUCCGUCGUCGCUAUCGCCAUCGUCGACCGCCGAAGCUCCGGAGAGUCUUCACCAAGAAAAUUUGCUUCAAUUGAAAUUAGUUUGCAUAUCAAUUGCUUUGGGUCUGAACAUUCAUGAAUGAAGGUCUCUUGUAUCGGUUCACUGUCUCAGGGGAAGGAUCUCUGUUCUCUCAGAUGCACGAUGACAAUGGAGAGUAGAAAGGCGGCGGCCCAGGUGCUGACGGUGGCUGGGUCGGACUCGGGUGCAGGGGCGGGAAUCCAGGCUGACCUCAAAGCUUGUGCGGCACGAGGUGUGUAUUGUGCCUCUGUCAUCACGGCAGUUACCGCCCAGAACACUCACGGAGUUCAAGAUAUCCAUCUUCUCCCUCCACAUUUCGUUUCUCUCCAGUUAAAAUCUGUCCUCUCGGACUUCCAAAUCGAUGUCGUAAG